rnacentral:rRNA from 1 species
UCGAGGAUUUUUCUCAAUGGGGGCAACCCUGAAGGAGCGACGCCGCGUGGAGGAUGAAGGGCUUCGGCUCGUAAACUCCUGUCACUAGGGAACAAUUGUGCCGAUUUAAUACAUUUGCACUUGAUGGUACCUGGAGAGGAAGGCACGGCUAACUCUGUGCCAGCAGCCGCGGUAAUACAGAGGUGCCAAGCGUUGUUCGGAUUUACUGGGCGUAAAGGGUGCGUAGGUGGCAUGGUAAGUCAAAUGUGAAAUCCUGCAGCUUAACUGUAGAAUAGCAUUCGAAACUACCAAGCUCGAGGGCUGGAGAGGAGAUCGGAAUUCUCGGUGUAGCAGUGAAAUGCGUAGAUAUCGAGAGGAACACCAGUGGCGAAAGCGGAUCUCUGGACAGUCUCUGACACUGAGGCACGAAAGCUAGGGGAGCAAACGG